GUAGGGACCAAGCGUUAUCCGGAAUUAUUGGGCGUAAAGGGUGCGUAGGCGGCCAUAUAAGUCUAAGUUAAAAGCCCACAGCUUAACUGUGGAAGGUGCUUAGAAACUGUAUGGCUUGAAUUCAGAAGAGGCAAGUGGAAUUCUAUGUGGAGCGGUGGAAUGCGUAGAUAUAUGGAGGAACACCAGUGGCGAAGGCGGCUUGCUGGGCUGAUAUUGACGCUGAUGCACGAAAGCGUGGGGAGCAAACAGGAUUAGAUACCCUGGUAGUCCACGCCGUAAACGAUGAGUACUAAGUGUUGGAGAAAUUCAGUGCUGAACUUAACAGAUUAAGUACUCCGCCUGGGGAUUACGACCGCAAGGUUG
rnacentral:rRNA from 1 species